rnacentral:lncRNA from 1 species
UUUAAAAAAAAUUAAAAAAAUUUCUUUAAAUUUUAUGAACUUUGCAAUGUUAUAUUAUAUAUAAUCUAUAUUUCCGAAAACAAUAAGUCGAAAUAAGAGCUUUUUUAGUAUUUUAUUUUUAAAACAGAAUCCAAAAACAUUAAAGUUAAAAAAGACUGUAAUUAGAUUCAAUUCUAAGUUACCCUCCAUGACAUAUCAGAUUCACAACCGUUGGGAAUCGUCGACUGGAGGGUCACUAAAAACAAGUUGACGGAACUUAUUAAAUUUUAUUCAAAUUGUUAGAAACAAUGCAAUUGCCUGCCCUAUGUUUCAAUGGCUUUCAAUAUUCUUCCAAUCCUUAAUAUUGAUGAAAUUAUUUAAUAUAUAUAAUAAAUUUUUAUGUAUAAUUGAUAAUAAAUAGAUUUUUAAUUCUAAAAAUAUAUUAAUUACAAAACUUGAUGUAGACUUCAAAA